CGGCGCUCAAGCGUCAGAAGGGCUCCGGACGCAACCACUACCUUGGCUUGGCGAGCAUUUUACAUGUCCAGCACAUUUCGCUUUGGAUUUGCCCCAUUUCAAGGGCUCCGCAGCCACAUGUGGCCCAUGGCUACUAUCUCGGACAGUGCAGCUCUGGAAUUCACCCUCAGAGGCCAUGUUUGUUGGGCCAGAAGGACAAGAGAAGCUGAUGGGUCAUCCCGUGUAGUCCCAUGACAGAUUGUUCCAGUUACAUCUAUCCAACAUGCUGACUGUGGAGUACUUCUGAAUCUGCUUAAGAGGAAGGGAGAAUUAUUCUGUGGGCUGUCUGGUCUACCAGAUCUCAUGUUUGGAGACCAUGCUGGUUUGGGCUGUGUUG